AAGUCGUAACAAGGUUUCCGUAGGUGAACCUGCGGAAGGAUCAUUAACACAUUAUAUCCAAUAUAAUACCAGAUUGUCGCAAUUCGUAUGAGGCAGGACUGCGUUGGAUUUGUAGUACAUGGUUGAAGUCUCCUUCAUGACUUUCCGCCCCUGCACCGCUCCAGUGUGUUUCCCGAGUGGUGUUUCAGACCGUCAGAAGUGAUUGAGGCUUGCUACAUUUCGGCCACCUGAGGGAGUCUGUAACUCCCAACAUGGAAUGGAGAACAACUAUCCUGACCGACCCGGUAUAGGCCAUGCUGGAACCCUUUUUACUUGUAUUUUGUAUCUACCGGUAUCAGAUCGAGAGGGUUCGUCCUUUUCUCUGAGGCCAGUCAAUGGAGCAAUCCAUUGUACGAACUAAACAUAAACACAACUCUUAACAGCGGAUAUCUCGGUUCUC
rnacentral:misc_RNA from 1 species